CUGUGAAUACUUUAGACCGCCGGCCAAAUGACCCAAAUGAUGUUUUAAUUGACCCAUUCUGUGCACCCUCUACAAGUGUUACAUUUGACUAUUUAAACACAGGUUUGGAUGUCACGGCUCAAAAGACUGAUGACCUGAUGACCCCUGAAGAAGAGGCUGGCUACACAAAGGCUCUUGUACAUGAUAUGUUUCCCUCCCAAACUUGCAUUUCUCAAUUAAACAAUAAUCCUGCUAUUCUUAAUAUACAAGCAGUUAAGGUUCAAGUCUAUCAACCCCAAGAAGGCUGUGCAUAUGAUCGAGACAUCAGUGUAAAUAGACUCUGCAAUCCUACCGCAUUCUACACUCCUGAAGACUGCUUCA